GAGGGUACAGCUCAGUGGUGGAGUGCUUGCUUAGCACGCACGAGGUCCUGGGUUCAAUGCCUAAUACCCCCA
rnacentral:tRNA from 1 species